rnacentral:snoRNA from 1 species
AGACCAUGAUGAGGGCACUUUCUCUGUAGCUCCUUGAACCUUUCUCAAGUUUCAUAUAAGGAUUCCUCAUCUUCUUGUGAUUAUGUAUUAAUUUCAGUCAUUAAUUU